rnacentral:rRNA from 1 species
GACGAACGCUGGCGGCGCGCUUAACACAUGCAAGUCGAGCGAAGCGGCGGACGGGUGAGUAACACGUGAGUAACCUGCCUUAAACAUUGGGAUAGCCGCGGGAAACCGGGAUUAAUACCAAAUGGUCUAAGAUGGACUCGCGUCCCAUUAGCUAGUUGGUGAGGUAACGGCCCACCAAGGCGACGAUGGGUAGCCGGCCUGAGAGGGUGAACGGCGCAAUUUGAACUGAGAAACGGUCCAAACUCUACGGGAGGCAGCAGAGGGGAAUAUUGCACAAUGGAGGGAACUCUGAAGCAGCGACGCCGCGUGAACGAAGAAGGCUUGCGAGACGUAAAGUUCUUUUAUAUGGGAAGCGGUACCAUAAGAAAAAGCCCCGGCUAACUACGUGCCAGCCGCCGCGGUAAUAC